rnacentral:rRNA from 1 species
GACGAACGCUGGCGGCAGGCUUAACACAUGCAAGUCGAGCGCCCCGCAAGGGGAGCGGCCGACGGGUGAGUAACGCGUGGGAACGUACCUUUUGGUUCGGAACAACUCCGGGAAACUGGGGCUAAUACCGGAUAAGCCCUAACGGGGAAAGAUUUAUCGCCGAAAGAUCGGCCCGCGUCUGAUUAGCUAGUUGGUGAGGUAACGGCUCACCAAGGCGACGAUCAGUAGCUGGUCUGAGAGGAUGAUCAGCCACACUGGGACUGAGACACGGCCCAGACUCCUACGGGAGGCAGCAGUGGGGAAUAUUGGACAAUGGGCGCAAGCCUGAUCCAGCCAUGCCGCGUGAGUGAUGAAGGCCUUAGGGUUGUAAAGCUCUUUUGUCCGGGAAGAUAAUGACUGUACCGGAAGAAUAAGCCCCGGCUAACUUCGUG